rnacentral:rRNA from 1 species
AUAUCAAUAAGCGGAGGAAAAGAAACUAACAAGGAUUCCCCUAGUAACGGCGAGUGAAGAGGGAAGAGCCCAAGAUUGAAAGCUGGCGUCUUCGGCGUCCGCAUUGUAAUCUCAAGAAGUGUUUUCCGCUUCGGACCAAGCCCAAGUCCCUUGGAAAAGGGCAUCGUAGAGGGUGAAAAUCCCGUACAUGGCUUGGAGCGCCCGAGGCUUUGUGAUACGCUUUCCAAGAGUCGAGUUGUUUGGGAAUGCAGCUCAAAAUGGGUGGUAAAUGCCAUCUAAGGCUAAAUAUUGGGGAGAGACCGAUAGCGCACAAGUA